rnacentral:rRNA from 1 species
GACGAACGCUGGCGACGUGCUUAACACAUGCAAGUCGAACGGUGAAGCGCCUUCCUUUUUGGUGGGUGUGGAUGAGUGGCGAACGGGUGAGUAACACGUGAGUAACCUGCCCCCUUCUUCUGGAUAACCGCAUGAAAGUGUGGCUAAUACGGGAUAUUCUGGGUCUGUCGCAUGAUGGGUCUGGGAAAGAUAUUGUUUCGGUGGGGGAUGGGCUCGCGGCCUAUCAGCUUGUUGGUGGGGUGAUGGCCUACCAAGGCGGUGACGGGUAGCCGGCCUGGGAGGGUGGACGGUCACACUGGGACUGAGACACGGCCCAGACUCCGACAGGAGGCAGCAGUGGGGAAUAGUGCACAAUGGGCGCAAGGCUGAUGCAGCGACGCCGCGUGGGAGAUGGAGGCCUUCGGGUUGUGAACCUCUUUCGCCAGUGAAGCAGGCCUGCCUCGUUUGUGGGUGGGUUGACGGUAGCUGGAGAAGAAGCGCCGGCUAACUACGUG